AAAGGAAACCAAUUAAAAGGCAAUUAAGCUCCUGUAAAAUUGUGGGGCAUGGAAAAAAACAGCUCAAUAAACAAACACUCCUGGAGAAAACUAACUUUGAACUCACCUUGGACACAAGGUGGUGAAGUACUGCAUGUUUUAUUAAGUAAGUUAAUUGCAUGUUGGAAAAAGGCCUCGGGUAAUGCCUCCAGGCUGAAGACGGAGUAUUCUCCUCUGCACAGGACAGCCUGGGUUACCCAACAUUCCACAGCCACAGUCCAUAGGAACCAGAGAAGAGCUGCACCAAACAUGGACUUGAUGUAGAUAACAACAAACAAGACAAAGCCAACAGUAAUUGGUGGAUGCCUUCUGGCUAUAUUCCCUUUAUGGAAAAAGGGUUCCCAGAAGUAUAACCUUGAAAUGCCAAUGCAAGAAAUCAGAGGGUUAGAAAUGGACUGAUACAGCAAGAAUGAAGAGAGGUGCAUACAGCAAACAUUCUUCCGUAUAAACAAGAGACAGUACCAUGAUAUCUAUCCAUCCAUCCAUUUCCUAAACCACUCAUAUCUGGUCAAGGUCAGGGGGUUGGGGAUAGAGCAUAUCCCAGCAUGCAGUGGACGAGAGGCAGGA